rnacentral:rRNA from 1 species
GACGAACGCUGGCGGCGUGCUUAACACAUGCAAGUCGAACGGAAAGGCCCUGCUUUUGUGGGGUGCUCGAGUGGCGAACGGGUGAGUAACACGUGAGUAACCUGCCCUUGACUUUGGGAUAACUUCAGGAAACUGGGGCUAAUACCGGUUAGGAGCUCCUGCUGCAUGGUGGGGGUUGGAAAGUUUCGGCGGUUGGGGAUGGACUCGCGGCUUAUCAGCUUGUUGGUGGGGUAGUGGCUUACCAAGGCUUUGACGGGUAGCCGGCCUGAGAGGGUGACCGGCCAAAUUGGGACUGAGAUACGGCCCAGACUCCUACGGGAGGCAGCAGUGGGGAAUAUUGCACAAUGGGCGGAAGCCUGAUGCAGCAACGCCGCGUGCGGGAUGACGGCCUUCGGGUUGUAAACCGCUUUCGCCUGUGACGAAGCGUGAGUGACGGUAAUGGGUAAAGAAGCACCGGCUAACUACGUG